rnacentral:rRNA from 1 species
CCAUGCCGCGUGAGUGAUGAAGGCCUUAGGGUUGUAAAGCUCUUUCACCGGUGAAGAUAAUGACGGUAACCGGAGAAGAAGCCCCGGCUAACUUCGUGCCAGCAGCCGCGGUAAUACGAAGGGGGCUAGCGUUGUUCGGAAUUACUGGGCSYAAAGCGCACGUAGGCGGACGCUUAAGUCCGGGGUGAAAUCCCGCAGCUCAACUGCGGAACUGCCUUUSAUACUGGGUGUCUUGAGUAUGGAAGAGGUGAGUGGAAUUCCGAGUGUAGAGGUGAAAUUCGUAGAUAUUCGGAGGAACNCCAGUCGGCGAAGGCGGCUCACUGG